ensembl:lncRNA
AACUUAUUGGAUUCUGGCACCCUUUGCCAACACUCCCAGGAUGACGCACACAGGAGUUAGAGGUCAGCACAGCUCGGUCUGUCUAGGCCCAGAACAAAUUUUUAAGACAUUUUCAGCAGAAAAAGCUUGCUAACCCUGAGUGAGUCCAUCCCCAUCUCUCGUAGAAUAAGACGUGGUCAAAAGUAUUCCCACAGAGAAGAGGAAGGAUCUAGAUGAGGAAGGUGCAGAAAAGGAAACUGCAGCCCUCAGCCGGGAACCUAAUCGUCAAGUGCUCCACGGGGUCAGGAAAGGUGAGGACUGAAAAACAAGGUGAGGCUCCUCAAGUGCUCGCACAGUGCCUGACUCUUAGCAGGUCCCAGAUAAGUGUUAUGACUACCCCAAGUUUGGCAGCUCCAUCUUUGAACUCCUUCCCGUUAUUUUGCAACUCCCCUGUUUCCUGAGUUUUCUUCUCUUCUCUCAGUCUCCUUCAGCUCUCUCCUCUGAAAAACCCAAAGGCUGAUAAAUCCCAUCAUUUUGUCCCUAGACCAUCACAUCUACUCCCAUAAAUUCAGCUACACAAAACUCUACUUUGCCAGUGCCCAAAUCCACAUCACCAGCCCCAGUUGCUCUUCUGAGCUAGUUACCUGUAUCGAAUUUGUCCUCUGGGCAUCUAAGUGGACAUUGGAUCUGUCCAGUAGACAUCUCAAUCUGUGCAAAACUAAAACCAAUACUUCCUGUCCAAAUAUAGCUCCUGUUCCUCUAUCCUCCUAGCAGUCAUUCACUCAGGGCAGAAGUCUAGGAUUCACACUUUCCCUUCAUGGCCCUCCACAUCUCAUCAGUCCCCCCAGUAUUUUAUAACUCACCCCUUCUCCAUCCCCACGACCGACUCAAGUUAGUCUCCUCUGGGCUUUGAUAAUCAAGUCUUUUGUUCAUAUCUCUGUUCAUAGUAAACAUUAAGUAAAAUAUGUCACCCUCCUAAGGGUGUCACCCACCUAAGAGAUGUGAUUCAUCUCCUUGUCUCUCCCUACCAUGGCAGCAAAUACAGCAGGAGACAUUGUGAACAAGUACUAAAAUUAAGUAGAUGUGGGCUUAAUUCCUAGCUCUGCUGUUCAGUAUUUAUGCAUCCUUGAGAAGUUUCCUGAAGCUCUGAGCCUGCAAGGAAGUAAAGUCCAACUGGGCACUUAGUUUCCUCAUUAGUAAAAUAACAGGAUUGCCGUUAAGUCCCUGUCCUUCUGGCUUUAACUAACAGAAGAUUUUUACAACCAGGAGAAGUGCAACAAUUUGCCCAAAUUUAGUAGAUUGUGAGGCUUGGAUCCAGAAAAUCAGUCUGACUCAAUGUUGGAGGAAGUCAUCCUGAGUCUCACUGCUCGGUCCUUCUGCUGUAGGUUUGGCUGCUGAUCUCAUAUAGACUUUGUGACAUCCCAGAUUGGGGAAGUCUAAGUAACAGUGGCCUAGUUUCUUUAUAGGUGGCCCCCCACCCCCAUCCCCGUCUCAAGGCUCAGAAUACCAUCUUCAGGUAAAUGACCGGAAAGCCCGCAUGAAGCUUCUAACAUCUACCAGACUAUGUGCAACCACACCAGCAUACAGCAGCAAUGCCCCUCCCCCGGACUCGGUGGGCUUCCUGCAGGAGCAUCAGAGAAAGAAGAGCACCACCAAGAAGAGCACGGAGCAGAAGGAGGCUUGCAAUGGGCAAGGCUCUUGAAUGUGUGGUUCUGAGGGAGUGUAGGAGGAGUGUAGGGAGUAGUUGGAGGACGUGUGUGAGGAGGGGAGGGAGGAGGGGG